rnacentral:lncRNA from 1 species
CUGUGCUCUUUUACUGCUUCGUGGAGGCUUGGCAGGCCUGGAGUUUUGGAAGGUUUCAUCAGACUACUGGAUGAACAGAGUGGGAGACAAAUACACAGCAAGACUGCUCUGAAGUUAGGACAUGGACCUGGGAUGUAGAGGGCUAAGGUAAGUGGUACUACUGACCUGCUGGCUCUUGUCUAUGCAUUUUAUUCUGUUUUGCUUGCACAAAAUUUCAAUAGGUCUUAGUUUGCUCCUGAUGUGGAACAAAACAAAUUACAAAACAAAAUUCUUGUUUUCCAGCCAACCCUAGAAGUACUUCCAGUUGGCAGAUGUUUUUAUGGUGUUACCCAUUUCCAAAGACUCUUAAAUCCCUAGGAUAUGCUAUUUCUGUCCUACUAUGAACCAUGCCAUGCAAACAUCUAACUGGGGAACACAUUUGCCUCAAAGUGGUUUUUUAUUGUUUUUAUUCUCCAUGCCUUUGUUUUCCUUUUUUUUUUUUUCUUUCUCCACUGGCAUUUGGUGUGUCAAAGGCCUGAUGAAGACUGGGGACAAAGGGUGAAAGAUCAGCAGUCCCGGGUAACUGGGGACCCAAACCUGCAAAUCACCGAAAGCUCCAGAAACGUCACGAGAUGUGGGUCACUGGCUCUCCUCCCGUCUCGGCCCUCAGACGAGCUUGUUGGUGCAAAUAAUCCCAUGGGAUUUCCAUGUAGGCUACUGCUUUUGAAUGGCGGGAGUACAAGGAUACAAAUUCGGAAGUUCUUUGCAAACAAGGAAAAGAGAGAACUGGAUUUCAAACUGGAGCUAGAAAAUGACAGCGUCACUUGUGUCCUGUCCCCCGACUCCCUGGGUUCUUGACCAAACCUGAGAGAUCCAUCAUCUACACUUGAAGAAGGUACUCUGUCAGAAUGCAGAAAGCUAAUGUUAUUCCUGAAAGCACCAGGACCUUGCCGAAACUCCUCCUGUAACUGCCUCCAGAAGCUGUUCAGUGGCGCUGGAUGGAAGCGGCUGAGCCAGCAAGUCAGAGGGAGGCACAGGGAAGCAGGAGCUGGGAGGAGAAACGGGGAAGUAGGAGCCGGGAAGGGCCUUUCUGCAUAUGGCUGGUGUUGUUGCCCUGAACGAGUACUUAAGGAAAGUACAGGAAUAAAAUCAAUGCAUGGAGACUUUUUUUCCCUCUGGGGAUUUAAUAUCAUCGUGGAACCUCUUCCAGCUCAGCUGAAAGAAUCAGGUAGAACAAGGUCUCUUUUUUCUUUGGAUCUGAUGAGUCUUGCUCCUGGCAUCUCUUCCAGGACUAUGUCUGUACCGAAGAUUCACCUGUUCCUGUUGCUGGGUGAUUGUGCUCACUCCCCUGCGCAGAGAACACUGAAACAGACAUGCAGUGAUACGGUUCCUGGCAUAUCCUGCAUCCAGGAUAAACAUGAACAUAUGGUGCCAAGGAAGUUUGUUGCGGGCCCGAGAUGA